rnacentral:lncRNA from 1 species
AUGGAGGCCUGGGCUGGGGAUGUGGUCUAUGGCUCCAGCUAUGGCAGUUCUGGCUGUGGCUACCACCUUCUCUCUUUCUUUUCUUUUUUUUUUUUUUUCCUUCUCUCUUUCAAUGGAAGAUUCUGUGCCUCUGGGAUCUACUUUUCAGUAGGACUUAGUGAACUCCUAGGACCUCAGAAAUUGCACAGUCACGGGUUAACUCAACUUGUCUGUUCUUCUGCAUCAAAAGGGUCAUAUUGUCAUCUUCUUUGGCUUAUAGCCAGUUAUUUGGCAUCCAGUGUCAAAGAGAAAUAGAGCCAGGGAGUAGUUAAAGACUUUCCUUAGUACUACUGCAGUAGGGAAAAGAAAUUUCCGAGAACAGAGCUCAAUUUCACUCCAUCAAGAGGUGACUGGGUGUUACAGAGGGAGAAUGAAGGAGGGAGUAGGGAGGGUGAGUAAGUGGGGGCUGGAGCAGAGUGAGAGUGGUGGAAAAUUAUGAAAAAGCAGGACAAGGUGAUUAGGUAAUGUGAUUAGGGUUUGCUCAUUAGUGCUUUACUGGAGGAGAAACAAAUGUUUCAUAUAUCAGGACAGAAGGUAAUUUUGCAAAUUGGAGCAAGACACCCAGUAAAGCUAGGCCCUUACCCUCCCAUAGGGACUGGAGGCAAUGCAAAACUUUGGGAGUUGCAUUUAAAAGAGUGGAGUCCCAGAUCUUUAAGACAGUCCUGGAUUGUAGAAGGUACAUCCAGGAGAGAUGUAGAAGGUACUUCUCUCUCUCAAAGGAGAGAGAAGGGAUUUAAAGUUGCAAUUUCUUUAAAUAAAUGCUUCUAAGAAAAGUGAGGUUAGGGGCCCAGAGUCAGGUUUUGGCUGGAACAAGCAGUAAAUUCUUCUGGCAUUUUGAACUUUCUCAGGCAGUCAUUUCAGGGACAGGGCUGAGAGUUGCAGUUUUUGCAGCAAUGGCGGAGGCUGGUUUGCAAGAGAGCUAGCUCAGAGGAACCUCAAUAAAGUUUGGUCAAAGAAAGAAUCUGUCACAAGCAAGUCUAAUGAUGAAGAAUGUGUGCUCUCAAAUGAGUGCCAGUACAGACUGUGUAUCUCAAGGCUCAACCAUCCUCAUGGAUCAUACUUUCUGGAAAAUGUCUGCUAUGCCAUCAUUGUCAAACUGCUCUUAUACACAUGUCUCCAAUGUGUAGCUUCUGCUCAUUAAUAUGUAGAAGUCCUUAGUUCAUAAAGCAAAAAAAGUCUCAUUUUAAUAAUCCUUUUAGGUGAAGUUCUUACAAAUAAUAGGUUUGAAUACAAUACCAUUUUAAUCAAUUUACAUUUUUAUCAAUUUUAUUUUAUUUUUAUGUUACAACAAACUUUAUCAUUGUUUUCUAAACCUGUUAAGUCUAAAUAACUAGGGUCAAAAUAAACUAAGAAAAAUAUAUUCUUGUCUCGCAUGUGUCUUCCUUAAAUGUCUCAGUACUUCUUCUUUACUUCAUUUUUUUCCUAUUAAAUGAUUUUUCUUCUUUUCCAUGUCUACUAAUCUCUUAUGCCUCUUAAAACAUAGGUCAAUUUCUGCUCCUUCGAUGAACUCUAAGUAUUUUCUUUGUUAUGAGUGACACCUUCCUCUACACUUGGGUGUAUUUUUAUUUUUUUUUUUUUUAUUUUUUUAUAAUUCCAUGACAUAUUUUUGUGCCAAUGUGAUCUUGUUUUUUUUAAAAAUAUAUUUUUUAAUUGGUGUUCAAUUUGUCAACAUAUAAAAUAACACCCAGUGCUCAUCCUGUCAAGUGCCCACUUCAGUGCCCAUCAGCCAGUCACUCCCCACCCCCGCCCACCUCCCCUUCCACCACCCCUAGUUCGUUUCCCAGAGUUAGGAGUCUCUCAUGUUCUGUCUCCCUUUCUGAUAUUUCCCACUCAUUUUUUCUCCUUUCCCCUCUAUUCUCUUUCACUAUCUUUUAUAUUCCCCAAAUGAAUGUGACCAUAUAAAGUUUGUCCUUCUCCCAUUGACUUAUUUCACUCAGCAUAAUACCCUCCAGUUCCAUCCAUGUCGAAGCAAAUGGUGGGUAUUUGUCGUUUCUAAUGGCUGAGUAAUAUUCCAUUGUAUACAUAAACCACAUCUUCUUUAUCCAUUCAUAUUUUUGCUUCUUUCAUGAAAUGUACAUGUGCUGCCAUCUACUAAAAUAAAUUUUAUUCUCCACUUCUAUCCCCAUUUGGAAUGAAAUGUGUUGAGACUGGAUCAUAUGCCAGUCAUUUUUGUGCUCUAUUCAAUUUAGUAAACAUCUUACUUUUUUUCCUACAACAUCUAGAGACAAUUGUAAUCACUGGAACUAUUUAAGAUGAACAACCUAAAAUCCAGUUCUUCAAGGAGGAUUAAAUAUUAUGCCAUUUUUGAGAAGCAAACAUACAUAGCAGAACUAUCAGUUUCAGCAUAGUAUUUUUUAAACUCAACUUUGGAUAAAAACUUUUCACAGAAGAUGUGAAGCCUCAG